rnacentral:lncRNA from 1 species
CCAGAUUGUAAAAUUAACCAUCAUCACACAGAACAAUAAAUACAAUAGCAAGGGAAUUAGAACUGGAAGAAAAUACAAAUUAUUUAACAUAUAUAAGUGUCUAACGUGACAGAAGGUCAAGAGGGAAGAGAGAGAGCUUUGCUCUAUGACACAUCUGGAGACCCAAGCUAAUGAGGAAGUUGAGCCAUUCUCAAUGGGUACCUUCCAAGUUAUCGGUCCCAGCCUGCAGGAAGGAGAGGGGGCAGCAACUCCAAGAUUCCCAUUUCUCUGACUCCAUGUCUCUUCCCUUAAUUUCACACCCUAAAGCCCAGGGCACAGGAUACCCACCCCGCCUCCCAGAUUGAGCCUCCACUCUCUGGUCGGGGGCAGCAGGAUUUGGGAGGACUCUUCCCCUCUGCCUUUAGCACCUGAGGCAAAGGAGCCAUCUUGAAACUGCCCAACAACUCAGCACCAGAAGACCGGGAGAGGCCGGCAAUCCUGGGUCUUCCCACGCUGCAUCCACAGAGAUCCACAAGAGGGCGCUCUCCGCGCUACACCUGUUCCUAGACUCUCCCACCGGCCUCCCAGAACGCUACUCAAGUGAAGACUGACAAAUGGGGCAGAAAAACGCCGCCCAGAAAGGCUUGGGAAGGGUACACUCCAGAAUGGAGAAGAGUGUGGUCUACAUGAGUCCCAGCAUCCACGCAGAAGCUUGGAGAAGGUCGGUCCUCAGACCAGUUGUCAGCCUCGGGUUUCCAGAGAUAGAAUGGCCGGCGCUCCUUCCACGCCCCACUCACUGUCUCCGCUGAUGCACACACUCCUUCUACAGGGGACGGCUUACUAUCCUUCUCUGUGUCCUCAGGGCCUGGACGAAUGAAUGAGCAAACAAAGUAUAAUACUUAAGAGGCUUUGGUCCAGAUACAUGUGCACAUGUGUGAAAUGAUAUGUGUACAAACAUAUUCAUUGGAACAGUAUUUGUACUCUGAAAAGAUUGGAAAAAACUUAAAUAUUCAUCAAUAG